rnacentral:rRNA from 1 species
GAUGAACGCUGGCGGCGUGCCUAAUACAUGCAAGUCGAGCGAACAGAUAAGGAGCUUGCUCCUUUGACGUUAGCGGCGGACGGGUAGUAACACGUGGGUAACCUACCUAUAAGACUGGAAUAACUCCGGGAAACCGGGGCUAAUGCCGGAUAACAUUUAGAACCGCAUGGUUCUAAAGUGAAAGAUGGUUUUGCUAUCACUUAUAGAUGGACCCGCGCCGUAUUAGCUAGUUGGUAAGGUAACGGCUUACCAAGGCAACGAUACGUAGCCGACCUGAGAGGGUGAUCGGCCACACUGGAACUGAGACACGGUCCAGACUCCUACGGGAGGCAGCAGUAGGGAAUCUUCCGCAAAGGGCGAAAGCCUGACGGAGCAACGCCGCGUGAGUGAUGAAGGUCUUCGGAUCGUAAAACUCUGUUAUUAGGGAAGAACAAAUGUGUAAGUAACUGUGCACGUCUUGACGGUACCUAAUCAGAAAGCCACGGCUAACUACGUG